UAAGGCAGCAACCAUUUGAUUUUCUGGGGGGGGCUAUGGUUUUUUUUGGAAAAAAAAGUUUGUUUCCAGUUUUUGGAGAAAAAAAUAAUUUGUUUUUGAUUCUGAGAAAAAAAAAUUGUUUGUUUCACCCCCAGCUGCCACUAUAUGUAAUGCAAGAAUUGAAAGAAAAAAAUUGUUUUCGACUUGUCGCGAAAAAAAUAGAUUGUUUUUCGCCGCAGGCGAAAAAAAAAGUUUGUACAGAAAAAAAAACCAUAGCCCCCCC
rnacentral:lncRNA from 1 species